rnacentral:rRNA from 1 species
GACGAACGCUGGCGGCGUGCCUAAUACAUGCCAGUCGAGCGAAGGUUUUCUGGUGCUUGCACCGGAAAAACUUAGCGGCGAACGGGUGAGUAACACGUAAAGAACCUGCCUCAUAGACUGGGACAACUAUUGGAAACGAUAGCUAAUACCGGAUAAUAGCAUUAACUGCAUGGUUGAUGUUUAAAAGUUGGUUUUGCUAACACUAUGAGAUGGCUUUGCGGUGCAUUAGCUAGUUGGUGGGGUAAAGGCCUACCAAGGCGACGAUGCAUAGCCGACCUGAGAGGGUGAUCGGCCACACUGGGACUGAGACACGGCCCAGACUCCUACGGGAGGCAGCAGUAGGGAAUCUUCCGCAAUGGGCGAAAGCCUGACGGAGCAACGCCGCGUGAGUGAAGAAGGAUUUCGGUUCGUAAAGCUCUGUUGUUAGGGAAGAAUGAUUGUGUAGUAACUAUACACAGUAGAGACGGUACCUAACCAGAAAGCCACGGCUAACUACGUG